CUUGAACGUGGUCUCGAACGCCUGACCUCGUGAUCCACCCGCCUCGGUCUCCCAAAGUGCUGGGAUUACAGGCAUGAGCCACCAUGCCAGCCCAUAAUUUAUUGAUUUUUAAAAAUUUGUCCAGCCUUCUAUCACCACGUUAAAUCCAUUAGCUGCAACCAUCCCAUGAGAAGCUGAGUGGAUUCAGCCCCACCGCCUGCUCAGACUCUGUCUGAGCACCUCAGUGGUCCCAACAGCGUCACUGUAGGACCCCCAGGACGUUGGACUGGUAGCUCCUUGGGUCUCCUCCUCUUUGGGGCAGAUCCUCAGUCCUCCCUUGACUUCACAACUGUGGCCAGAUCAUGUGCGGACUGUCCCUCACUUUGGGUCUCCAGAGCACUUGCAUCAAACACCUCUAACUCAGAAGUGUGCAGCCACACUGGGACUCAGAACCCGAGAACAGGGACAGAAGACUCAGGCCCUUGGGGUGCCCGGUCUCGCAGCAUUGGGCAUGACUUCCAGCUCCUGCGCCUUUCCCAGCAGCUGCUGACUGGGGACCCAGACUAGGGGCUGAGCGACCGGCCCGGCGAGCGAAGCUCGGGGUCUCACUUAGGCACCAGCUCCUCCUUGCCCCGGGCCCUUGGCACAGGUAGCCCUAUUCAGGCAGGAGCUGCUCUUCUGGGGUAUCGCGAUCCACUUAAGGAUGAGGCAGACUUGGUGACAAGUCUGAGCAGGUAUGGGAGCCUCCUGGGGAGACGGAAGAAGGGAGGAAGUUGCCUUCUGCCUGGAGAGGGUUUGGGAGGGAGAGGGAAGCCUAGGGCUCCAGGCAAGGCUGAUGUUGACUGCCAGGGUUUGGGGCUGAAGCCAGGAACAGUCGCUCUCUCUGGUUCUUACUGGUAUCCCUCAUGGGGGUCCCUGACGCCAGAGCCUCCAAGGCUGCCUGUGCCAGCCCAGGGCUGCCCACAUGCCCACAUAUAUCCCAGAAUAGGCACCAGGGCAGGGAACCCAAACUAGCGUGAGUGACAGAGCAGGUGGUCAGGGAGAAACAGACAUCAAACCCAGCCAGGAGAGAGACACCGCAACAGAGAGACAGAGAAGGGAAACCAGAGACGAGAGGGAAAGUGGGACAGAGACAGGCAGAGCCUCAGAGAGGCAGGAAGUGAGCCCAAAGGGAAGGUGACAGGUUGAUGGAGAAAAGUAGGCAGAGCAGAGGAACUCAUGCCUCAGGACGCAAAAGCCACAUGGACAGGGCGUGGAGCAAGGGGCUGAGCCCUGUAAGGUCAGGUGAGUGUGAGCCAAAGAUAAACUGGGGGGGGGGGGGGCUCCAGCUGGUGAGAGAAACACAAAGGGCUCCCCAGUGGUGGCAGGGGCAUUGAAAGAGUCCCCAUCACAGGUUGCAACGGGGAUGAUUUGGCCAUAUCUGAGAUCUUUUUAAAUAUACACGCCCUUGUACCCAGCAAUUCACUGCCAGGAGUUUAUCUUAAAGAGAACAUUUCACAAGUGGGGAGACAGAGAUGAAUGAAGAUGUUCCUGUAGUUGCUAAUGGAGGUGAAAAGCACUGGGGUUUCUUGGAACAACAUGGUGAAACCCCAUCUCUCCAAACAAAUUUUAAAAAUUAGCUUGGUGGCGGGGCACGGUGGCUCACACCUGUAAUUCCAGCACUUUGGGAGGCUGAGGCGGGAGGAUCGCUUGAGGUCAGGAGUUCGAGACCAGCCUGGCCAACAUGGCGAAACCUGUCUCUACUAAAAGUACAAAAAUUAGCCAGGUGUGGUGGCACACACCUAUAAUCCUAGCUACUCGGGAGGCUGAGGCAGGAGAAUCACUUGAACCUGGGAGACGGAGGUUGCAGUGAGCUGAGAUUGAGCCACUGAACUCCAGCCUGGGAGAUAGAGUGAGACUGCAUCUCAAAAAAAGAAAAAAAAAAAAUUAGCUUGGUGUGGCAGCAUGUACCUGUAGUCCCAGCUACUCAGAAGGCUGAGGUGAGAGCAUCACUUGAGCCUGAAAGGUGGAGGUU
ensembl:lncRNA